AAGUGGCGAAAGGGGCAGUAAUGCGUGGGUAACCUACCCCGGGGACCGGGAUAGCCACCCUAACGGGUGGGUAAUACCGGGCGAUGUAGCGAGAUCGCCUGAUUUUGCUAUGAAACGAAUUUCGCCUCGGGAGGGGCUCACGUGGUAUUAGCUAGUUGGUGGGGUAACGGCCUACCAAGGCGAAGAUACCUAGCAGGUGUGAGAGCACGACCUGCGCCACUGGCACUGAGACACUGGCCAGACUCCUACGGGAGGCUGCAGUCGAGGAUCUUCGGCAAUGGGCGCAAGCCUGACCGAGCGACGCCGCGUGCGCGAUGAAGGCCUUCGGGUUGUAAAGCGCUGUCGAGGGGGAGGAAAGCCGUAAGGUCUGACCUAUCCCUGGAGGAAGCACGGGCUAAGUUCGUGCCAGCAGCCGCGGUAAGACGAACCGUGCAAACGUUGUUCGGAAUCACUGGGCUUAAAGGGCGCGUAGGCGGGCGGCCAAGUCAGGGGUGAAAUCUUUCGGCUUAACCGGAAAAUAGCCUUUGAUACUGGUUGUCUAGAGCGAGGUAGGGGCAUGUGGAACUUCCGGUGGAGCGGUGAAAUGCGUCGAUAUCGGAAGGAACGCCGGUGGCGAAAGCGACGUGCUGGACCUCUUC
rnacentral:rRNA from 1 species